CAAAUGGAAACAAAUUUCCCAGCUGUCCUUUGACCGUGGACUCUGCAGGUGUAGAGACCGCCCGGAGACGUGGGUGUGGAGCUUAGUCAUGAAGAAUGCUGCAAUAACUAGAUUAAUAGGCUUUUAAUUGUAGACCGAUUGGAAUUCAAUCUUACGAUCGUCCAAACAAGCUGACGCAGACCGCCAGGCGCCAGUUCCGCGACGUCACCCAUUCAUGUCGUCCCUGACGGCUGUCAGCCCGGCGCCGCGCGGGCGGUGUCCAUGGAGACCUCAAACAACGGGGCUCACAAUCCCCCCAUUCACCUGCACAGCACAAACCCUGAGAACAAACUGUCUGCCCAAAAUCGUUAUUCAUUUAUCACGUUAAACCACUCAGUGAAGAGAUUACUGCCCCACACACCUGCAAACUGCCAUUGUCUCUAGUUUGCUCACAUAAGCUCCAAAGGCUUGUAAAAGAAAACAAGACAGAGGGCUUUGAAUGUAAAAUGACAGUUCCUGAAUUCCUUCAGUUAGGUACUCCCCUUCUUUUUUCAUAAGGAAAUUCCUCAAGUAAAACAUUGUAUAUUUUACACUGAUAUAAAACAACUUACAAUGUUGCAGUUUCAGUGCCUGUCUAUCUGGCUGUAAAUCCACCAGAAUUAGAUUUUAAUUCGUUUUUCUUUUUACUUAGUAAAUAGAUUCAAAUAAAUUUCGCAACUUGUAUAA